GACGAACGCUGGCGGCGUGCUUAACACAUGCGAGUCGAACGGAAAGGCCCUGCUUUUGUGGGGUGCUCGAGUGGCGAACGGGUGAGUAACACGUGAGUAACCUGCCCUUGACUUUGGGAUAACUUCAGGAAACUGGGGCUAAUACCGGAUAGGAGCUCCUGCUGCAUGGUGGGGGUUGGAAAGUUUCGGCGGUUGGGGAUGGACUCGCGGCUUAUCAGCUUGUUGGUGGGGUAGUGGCUUACCAAGGCUUUGACGGGUAGCCGGCCUGAGAGGGUGACCGGCCACAUUGGGACUGAGAUACGGCCCAGACUCCUACGGGAGGCAGCAGUGGGGAAUAUUGCACAAUGGGCGGAAGCCUGAUGCAGCAACGCCGCGUGCGGGAUGACGGCCUUCGGGUUGUAAACCGCCUUCGCCUGUGACGAAGCGUGAGUGACGGUAAUGGGUAAAGAAGCACCGGCUAACUGCGUG
rnacentral:rRNA from 1 species